CCUACGGGUGACAGCAGUGGGGGAUAUUGCACAAUGGGGGAAACCCUGAUGCAGCGACGCCGCGUGGGCGAAGAAGUAUUUCGGUAUGUAAAGCUCUAUCAGCAGGGGAGAAAAUGACGGUACCUGAGUAAGAAGCCACGGCUAACUACGUGCCAGCAGCCGCGGUAAUACGUAGGGGGCCAGUGUUAUCCGGAUUUACUGGGUGUAAAGGGAGCGUAGACGGCAGUGCAAGGCUGGAGUGAAAGGCGGGGGCUCAACCCCCGGACUGCUCUGGAAACUGUACGGCUGGAGUGCAGGAGAGGUAAGUGGAAUGCCUAGUGUAGCGGUGAAAUGCGUAGAUAUUAGGAGGAACACCAGUGGCGAAGGCGGCUUACUGGACUGUAACUGACGUUGAGGCUCGAAAGCGUGGGGAGCAAACAGGAUUAGAUACCCUUGUAGUC
rnacentral:rRNA from 1 species